CACAAAUGCCCGUAAAUAUUGCUCUUUGCUUCAGAGCUAUUUGAAGAGAAAAAAAGAGGGGGUGGGGGGUGGGGGUGGAUCUCCGCCAAAGAUUACAUGGGACUUUUCAGGGGUGAACAUAUAGAUUUUCCUGACAAGAAGGCCCUCUAUUAUUCUGACCUUAGCCAAGGCGAACUCUGGCAGAGACAGCAAGCGCACCUUUCAGCUUGAGUGGCCAGGGCCAGGAGACUCGUCGAAAGGCUUUCUGAAAGGGAGGAGAGCUUGUUUACCGCUGCUAUGACACGGCAGCCCUGCUGGGCAGGAAAUGCAGGGCCCUGAACCCUGUUAUUAUUAACAAGGACAAAGAGAACAAGCCGGCCCCAGACCGGCUGCCAAUGUGACAAGUAUGGAUUUACUGCUCAGAAAUUCACAAGAGGACACUCAGCCUUCAAACAGAAAGAGCGAGAAUCUGAGACAGAGACGUGAAGGAAAGCAGAGCGCUAAUGAAGGCCUGCUCAGAUUGAGUGACCAAUGUUUCGUGUCUGAGUGACAUCACCGCAUUAAAGCGGCCGGAAUCUCCUGAGAGGUCUCCAGAGAGAAGACGAGAGAAUCGCAGCGACAGAAUGAAGCCAGUGUUUAGUGUUCAUUCCUGCAGACUUCUGCUCCAUCACCUGGAGACCCGCAGCCCUGCCGAGACACAACCAAAUCCAUAAACAACACACAGACCCUCCUCAUCAACACAAGAGGCAAGCUGUUAAUUAUCAAAAGCCAAAGAUGAGCAAUAGCCCUUCAUGAACGAGCACACAAACCAAAUCUAACAGGGGACAUGCUGGAAUCACGAGGACACGCUGCUGAAGGGACCUAAUGAGCAAGUUCAUUUCCAUUUACAUUGUUUCUUUGACAAUAAUGAUGUCCCAUUAGGGGAGACUAAAGGGUUAUAGAGUGAGAAACGCGCCAGGCCUCAUUACCAAAGGUGGGGAGGGAGGCGCCUUUAAUUGCUCUAUCAGGGCCCAGAGUUACACUUGAUAGGACAACAGAAGCAGACUUUGGGGAAGAAGAAAAAAAAGAGCGAAUGAGAGCGAGAGAGAGAGAGAGAG
ensembl:lncRNA